UGGGGAAUCUUCCACAAUGGACGAAAGUCUGAUGGAGCAACGCCGCGUGAGUGAAGAAGGGUUUCGGCUCGUAAAGCUCUGUUGUCGGGGACGAAUGUGCAGUAUUUGAAUAAAGUACUGCAAUGACGGUACCUGACGAGGAAGCCACGGCUAACUACGUGCCAGCAGCCGCGGUAAUACGUAGGUGGCAAGCGUUGUCCGGAAUUAUUGGGCGUAAAGGGAGCGCAGGCGGGAAGGUAAGUCGGUCUUAAAAGUGCGGGGCUCAACCCCGUGAUGGGAUCGAAACUAUCUUUCUUGAGUGCAGGAGAGGAAAGUGGAAUUCCUAGUGUAGCGGUGAAAUGCGUAGAUAUUAGGAGGAACACCAGUGGCGAAGGCGACUUUCUGGACUGUAACUGACGCUGAGGCUCGAAAGCCAGGGGAGCGAACG
rnacentral:rRNA from 1 species